GACGAACGCUGGCGGCGUGCCUAACACAUGCAAGUCGAACGGAAAGGCCCUGCUUUUGUGGGGUGCUCGAGUGGCGAACGGGUGAGUUACACGUGAGUAACCUGCCCUUGACUUUGGGAUAUCUUCAGGCAGCUGGGGCUACUACCGGCUAGGAGCUCCUGCUGCUUGGUGGGGGUUGGAAAGUUUCGGCGGUUGGGGAUGGACUCGCGGCUUAUCAGCUUGUUGGUGGGGUAGUGGCUUACCAAGGCUUUGACGGGUAGCCGGCCUGAGAGGGUGACCGGCCACAUUGGGACUGAGAUACGGCCCAGACUCCUACGGGAGGCAGCAGUGGGGAAUAUUGCACAGUGGGCGGAAGCCUGAUGCAGCAACGCCGCGUGCGGGAUGACGGCCAUCGGGUUGUGAACCGCUGUCGCCUGUGACGAAGCGUGAGUGACGGUAAUGGGAGAAGAAGCACCGGCUAACUACGUG
rnacentral:rRNA from 1 species